rnacentral:lncRNA from 1 species
UCCCACUAUGUUGCCCAGGCUAGUCUUGAACUUCUGGGCUCAAGUGAUCCUCCCUCUUUGGCCUCCCAAAGUUCCGGGAUUACAGACAUGAGCUACCAUGCCUGGCUAGGCAGUUACUUUUAGAGAAGAGGGAAUUGUGACUAGAACAGAGUACAUGAAGGACUUAUGGAAAGACUGGCAAAGGUCUAUUUCUUGACCUGGUGGAGGUAACAACUAUUGAUCUCCCUACAGUAACUAAUUUGUUUUAUGUAACUUUUUUGUAUUUGUACAGUAAGAAAAUAUUUUAAAUGGUCAAUUUUCAAGGCAUGAUAAAUCUAAGUAUUGGCAGCUAGCCUGCAAAUGUGACAAAAUGCCUGGCUAAUGCACCUAGGUCACAAUAAGCAAACAGAAUGUAGAGGAGGGUUCAGCCCGUAAAAGGAAAGAAAGUUUCGUUAUCAGGAAAUCGAAACUUAAGCAGGGAAAGGGACGGGAUAUAACCUUAUAAGGGGGAUAAUGAAACUUAGGCAACGUCUUGGAAGAUUGUAACCCCAUAGUACUCAACCAAUGCAGAACUCGUGGAGGGACUUGUGUGCUAGGAGAUAAAUUACCUGUUGUGACUUCCCUGGAUGUACCUGCUCAGACACCCGACCUUGCAAGAUCGUUAUUAAAGUCUCACUUUCGCUGUUCUUCGUGCCUCUAAGUCCAUUCUUCGGGUUUGGAUGGAAUCCCCUUCCUUGUAUGGCUCUGAGUAAGAUUUGGCCAAGAGGAAUUUGCACAAGAUUUUAGAAGGCAGGAACAAUGCAACAGACGUGACUCAAUGAAGAUUUCAGGAUUAGGAUAGUGAUGGACACUCACAAAGCAUAAACAUCCAUGCUUCUGGAUUCAACAAACUCUUGGAAAGCAUUUUUCUGCAUCCUGCUGGUGUGGAAGCAUU